rnacentral:lncRNA from 1 species
AGAGUGGGAAGGAAUACGCUGAUUCUUUUAAUUUACCCUCUUUGUUUAAGAAAAAAAAUUAAAUUAAUCUUAUCACAAGUGUUUAUGAGUAAUUGAUUUGAUUUUUGCACUCCAGUCAGAAGCGAUAGAGUUAAGACUUCACUGAUUUCCUUGCUGUAUAGAAUACACUGCGUCUGUCUCUCAAAGUAUAACCACUCACAGCUAAAGACCUUAAUUAUGUUUUAAUUUCACAAACUAUGACCAUGAUAAUAUUAACAUUUAAAUCAUGGUUUGGAUUUGGAAAUAGUAUAACUUCUAACCUCUUGGAAAGUUUCUUUCAAAAACUAUGUUUAUUAUUGGGACUUCUGUGCUUGAAAAGAAUCAUGAUUUCAUUACUCCAUUAUCUAGUAGGGAUAAAACAUAACAUAAGAGGCUCUUCAUGAAAUAUGCCAUCUCCCCCACCCCAAUAAAGAAGCAAAUGCUAGGAGAAAUUUAAUUUGGGUGAUGAUGACUUUCUUAUGGGAGAAGGGAAAAGCAUUAUCAAGAGUUGGAACAUGAGCCAUUCUACCCGAGUAAGCUCAAGAAAUGAUUUUUUUUUUUUCCUGAUCAUAGGAUAUAAAGCUAGAAGAGACUUUAAAGACCAUGAAGUCAAACCCCUUCAUACUACAGACAAGAAAACUGAGGCUCAGAGAGGACAGGUUUCUCUUUGGACCUCCAUGGUGGGCUUAGUCACUUAUAAUGAAAGGAUCAAGUAUGGCAUUUACAUCUGAUGUCUCUUACUCCCAGAAUGCCUUUGGUCAACAGGUUGGAUUAUGUAAAGUCCCUGGCAUCAGAAUUCAGCAGCAUUGAAGAGCCCUGCUUUUUAAUAUUGAAUACACUCAAAAUUGUUUCUGACAGUGUUACCUCCACCCCCAUAAUUAUUUAAUACCUUUGGAAUGUGGAGAACUGGCAUGAAGCUCUCAGCCAGGAGUCUGUGCAGUGCCAACCUCCCUGCGACUUGCAGCUGGCUCUGUCUCACUGGAAACUCAUGAAGGUAAGGGUCAAAAUUCCAGAGACAUGGUGCUUGAGAGUUGAAAUAAAGACUGACAGAUGUGCUAAGUGUUGAUAAUU